rnacentral:rRNA from 1 species
UUGCACUGAAUGAGAUUUUAACACGAAGUGAGUGGCGGACGGGUGAGUUAACACGUGGGUAACCUGCCCAGAAGCAGGGGAUAACACCUGGAAACAGAUGCUAAUACCGUAUAACACGAGAAAACCGCCUGGUUUUCUUUUAAAAGAUGGCUCUGCUAUCACUUCUGGAUGGACCCGCGGNGCNUUAGCUAGUUGGUGAGGUAACGGCUCACCAAGGCGAUGAUGCGUAGCCGACCUGAGAGGGUAAUNGGCCACAUUGGGACUGAGACACGGCCCAGACUCCUACGGGAGGCAGCAGUAGGGAAUCUUCCACAAUGGACGCAAGUCUGAUGGAGCAACGCCGCGUGAGUGAAGAAGGGUUUCGGCUCGUAAAGCUCUGUUGUUAAAGAAGAACGUGGGUGAGAGUAACUGUUCACCCAGUGACGGUAUUUAACCAGAAAGCCACGGCUAANUACGUGCCAGCAGCCGCGGUAAUACGUAGGUGGCAAGCGUUAUCCGGAUUUAUUGGGCGUAAAGCGAGCGCAGGCGGUCUUUUAAGUCUAAUGUGAAAGCCUUCGGCUCAACCGAAGAAGUGCAUUGGAAACUGGGAGACUUGAGUGCAGAAGAGGACAGUGGAACUCCAUGUGUAGCGGUGAAAUGCGUAGAUAUAUGGAAGAACACCAGUGGCGAAGGCGGCUGUCUGGUCUGUAACUGACGCUGAGGCUCGAAAGCAUGGGUAGCGAACAGGAUUAGAUACCCUGGUAGUCCAUGCCGUAAACGAUGAUUACUAAGUGUUGGAGGGUUUCCGCCCUUCAGUGCUGCAGCUAACGCAUUAAGUAAUCCGCCUGGGGAGUACGACCNCAAGGUUGAAACUCAAAAGAAUUGACGGGGGCCCGCACAAGCGGUGGAGCAUGUGGUUUAAUUCGAAGCUACGCGAAGAACCUUACCAGGUCUUNACAUCUUCUGCCAACCUAANAGAUUAGGCGUUCCCUUCGGGGACGAGAAUGACAGGUGGUGCAUGGUUGUCGUCAGCUCGUNUCGUGAGAUGUUGGGUUAAGUCCCGCAACGAGCGCAACCCUUAUUACUAG